AUUGAACGCUGGCGGCAUGCUUUACACAUGCAAGUCGAACGGUAACAGGUUAAGCUGACGAGUGCGAACGGGUGAGUAAUGCAUCGGAACGUGCCCGGUCGUGGGGGAUCACGCAGCGAAAGCUGCGCUAAUACCGCAUACGAUCUGAGGAUGAAAGCGGGGGACCGUAAGGCCUCGCGCGAUCGGAGCGGCCGAUGUCAGAUUAGGUAGUUGGUGGGGUAAAGGCACCAAGCCAACGAUCUGUAGCUGGUCUGAGAGGACGACCAGCCACACUGGGACUGAGACACGGCCCAGACUCCUACGGGAGGCAGCAGUGGGGAAUUUUGGACAAUGGGCGAAAGCCUGAUCCAGCAAUGCCGCGUGCAGGAAGAAGGCCUUCGGGUUGUAAACUGCUUUUGUACGGAGCGAAAAGGUCUCCUCUAAUACAGGGGGCUCAUGACGGUACCGUAAGAAUAAGCACCGGCUAACUACGUGCCAGCCGCCGCGGUAA
rnacentral:rRNA from 1 species